rnacentral:rRNA from 1 species
CUUUGUUUCUAUUUUGUUGGUUUUCAGAAACGAAGUAAUGAUUAAUAGGGACAGUUGGGGGCAUUAGUAUUCCAUAGUCAGAGGUGAAAUUCUUGGAUUUAUGGAAGACUAACUUCUGCGAAAGCAUUUGCCAAGGAUGUUUUCAUUAAUCAAGAACGAAAGUUAGGGGAUCGAAGACGAUCAGAUACCGUCGUAGUCUUAACCAUAAACUAUGCCGACUAGGGAUCAGACAUUGUUAUUUUAAUGACUUGUUUGGCACCUUAUGAGAAAUCAAAGUUUUUGGGUUCCGGGGGGAGUAUGGUCGCAAGGCUGAAACUUAAAGGAAUUGACGGAAGGGCACCACCAGGAGUGGAGCCUGCGGCUUAAUUUGACUCAACACGGGGAAACUCA